rnacentral:lncRNA from 1 species
CUCGAUUUAAGUUAACUAGAAAAAUUUCAGAAUCCAUAUAACAGCUUGCCAUGAACAGAUAAGGAAGAAGAUAAUGACGUACCUCUCUAGAUAAGAUAGAAAAUAAUGAGCGUAUCUCGUUUGAUAAGAUAAGACUAAUAACAUGAUUCUUCUUCCUUCUCACAGCACCUCCGUCUUUACCUAUAAAUAAAGGGCUAAAAGGGAUCCUCAAGGUACGCACUCACUUCUCUCCAAUACUCGCUCAUUCCCCUCCAUUUCUUAAUUUUCUGAUUGAGCAUCGAAAAAUUCCCGUUGGAGC